UGCGAGCUUCAGGUUUCCAAAAGAACAACAAAAGUUCAUAUCUACUCGAUCACGUUCAACGCAUCGCUGUUUAAAAGCGGAAAUAUAUAUCUACUUUUGCCCUAACGCAUCAGCCUUUACAUGCACUUUAGUUUUUCAAUAUGGAUUUAAAAAUACAAUAUGCGCAUUUGUCUCGUUUUAUUGCAUUUGGUUUGUUGUUGUUGUUGUUUAACAUUCUUGGUGUUGUUGAGUGUCGCUUAUUGCAGGGGUGGUCGAGGUGCGGAGGCGGGAGAGGGCUGGAGCGUCGCGCAUCUUUCGGCGGAGAGCACGUGACAGGCAACAGACUCGCAUCACGAACUUAUACUCACGUCCAUGCUUGCAUUGUGCGCUGGGAGGAAGGAUGGGCUCACGCCGCAGGCGAGGUCAUUCAUUUCCGCAGUCAUGCCCGAGUAAUUCGGGGAAAAAGAAUUAAGAUCAAAGUUGUUAUUGUGUACAUAGUGAACAUUUAAUUACUUUGUCUUCAUUUACUCUCUGUGUAUUUCAGUUCUUCAGAUAUACUGUGCAUUUAUCACAUAUUUCAUUAUUGUGUAUAAUACAGUUUGUUCUACAUGCUCUCUGAGGGUUCUGAGUAAACAUUUUUGGACUUUGAGCUUUGAUUAUACAUGUUUCAAUAUGGUUUUAAGAAUGUCUGACAGAAUGAAAACCAGGGUCGAACAAAACCGGCCUUUUGUUACCUUAUUGCUGACAAAUGCUAAAUCUUUAUUUACGAGGGUAACAGAUUAAGUAAAAGUUAUGGGUUUGGUUGUUUUUUUUUAUUAUACAUCUAGCCCUGUAUGAAUAUAUGAGAAACGUAUUAUACAUUUUAUAUUGAAAUGGGUUUUUUUUCACUUUUUAGAAAGGAAGCGACUGGAGUUGUUGCUUAGCGCAGCUUUUGCCCUUUGCCUUUCAGCUGAGUUUCAGUUCAUGCAUUGCUAUGCUAAAAAUGUCACCACACUACAUUACAUCAGUCCUUUAUUUUACCUAUGUUUUAAACAUGAACUUUACCUAUACCCCUCGCUGAAUACAAGCUCGAUCGUUUGAAAUUACAGAUCACUUUGCAAGGGCGUGUCCAGCAACUUAAUCUCGCAGUGGCUGGGAGUGGUUCGAAUUGAGGAAAGAAACACACAUAUGAAAAUAAAAAUAUGCUCUUUCAAAAGCAAUAAUUAUUAUUACUAUACUGACGCACUUUUAAACAUCUGCUGUACUGUAUGAAGAGCUGUCUGCACCGACUAUACAUGCAACAGUUAGCUCAGCUGUGAAGAAAGGUGGUGUAUGUGUCAGGAGUCUGGUGAUGACAUGAUCUCAGGAAAGUCAAAUGCCAGUCCGGUCGCUUGUGUCUCUGGAUCAUGAGAUCCGUCAGUAUCUGCGUAUAGUCUUUGUAGAUGAUGCUUAGCUUGAGCCUUGUGUCUGAAGUGAUUUAAUGUGAGUAAGGUCAAAGUCUGUGAUCAUGAAUCCGUAUUCCCUAUACAGGUCCGUGCUGUGAUUGUGGAAAUGUCCGGGGUGGUGUUUGCAUGUUGGUGUGUGAAUAAGAAGCCAUGAUGUUUGUUUCUGCUUCCUUUGUAGUUUCUAUACGCUGGGGGUGUGUUGCUGGACUGCCUGGACAUUGGUUUGUGGUAUGGGGCGACUUCUGUGGGAGAUGGAGCGAGCGAGCAGUUUUUUCUCCCCAUGUACGACAAACGGCUAGCGGCGUGGCACUCCUCCCUACACUUCCUUUGGUCUGCUCCGCUUGAAUGCACUGUGUGCUGACAGUCUGUCAGGAGUAGCAACAUCAGCCAGGCUACAACAGUUACCCCACGCAGCGGAUAUACAAUUUUUAGUAAAUAACCAGUUUAAAGCAAUCUUGCUAUACUUCAAAGUCAAUGUACCAUGUCAAAGCUGCAACCAAUGAGAGGCCUGAAAGCAUUUUAGUGAGGCGUAUCCAUGGUAACUGUUAUAUGCAUGUGAUGUAGAACCUUCAGAUUUUUGCUCCUUUAUCUGUGGCGAAUGAGUGUUGGGUACAAGGAUUUUAUUUUCUUAAACUAAGUUCAAUGAAAAUAAUGUGCCAGAAGCAUCUAUUCAUGUGUAUUUCUCUAUGCACAAUGAAAUACAACCAGGCUAAUGUCUUUCUCCUGUGAUAGUUCUCUACUUUACUUGCUUUAUUUCUCCACCUCUCUAUUUCCUCUUCAUCCUGUUUUCUAUAGAUGUUUCACAGGUCCUUACUUUUAUUAUUGGU